rnacentral:rRNA from 1 species
UACGUAGGGGGCAAGCGUUGUCCGGAAUCAUUGGGCGUAAAGCGCGUGUAGGCGGCUUGGUAAGUCUGUUCUGAAAGCCCGGGGCUCAACCCCGGGAGGCGGAUGGAUACUGUCAAGCUCGAGUCCGGAAGAGGUGGGUGGAAUUCCUGGUGUAGCGGUGAAAUGCGCAGAUAUCAGGAGGAACACCAAUGGCGAAGGCAGCCCACUGGGGCGUGACUGACGCUGAGACGCGAAAGCGUGGGGAGCAAACAGG